rnacentral:rRNA from 1 species
AUGUCGCUCGUUGAUCUCCACUUCAACAAAGGGCAAGCAUUUGCUGAGGAAGUUUGGAGGAGAUGGAGAGUGUCGAUCAACUUUGAAGAAGGUAAAGAUCUCCAAGAAUUCGUCUUCGUUGCUGAAUUUACAAGAUCCAGGAUCAGGCUUACGGAAGAAUUCGUGGCCACCAUUCUUCUAUCAUGCUUGGGUGGACGGGCAUCCCUAUUCAAAGUCAAAUUGCUGCAGUACUGGCCAAUCAGAUUUUCUGUGUCAUCCAAGGAAGUGGUUUCUCUAUCAUCAAUGAAGGUAACAUUUCAAUUCCUGAACUCAAUGUCAAUUUCCUACUCGAGGAUCUGGUGGCCCAAAUUCUUGUUGGUAACUUGA